rnacentral:tRNA from 1 species
UACUGAAGUGUAGUGGUUUGAAUGUUGGACUAUGAAUCUGGAGGGCAGGGUUUGAAUCCCUGCUCAGCCA